AGUGAACGCUGGCGGCAGGCCUAACACAUGCAAGUCGAGCGGCAGCGCGUCCGACCACCCUCGGGUGGUCGGAUGGCGGCGAGCGGCGGACGGGUGAGGAAUGCAUCGGAAUCUGCCUCGUUGUGGGGGAUAACGUAGGGAAACUUACGCUAAUACCGCAUACGACCUACGGGUGAAAGUGGGGGACCUUCGGGCCUCACGCGAUGAGAUGAGCCGAUGCCGGAUUAGCUAGUUGGCGGGGUAAAGGCCCACCAAGGCGACGAUCCGUAGCUGGUCUGAGAGGAUGAUCAGCCACACUGGAACUGAGACACGGUCCAGACUCCUACGGGAGGCAGCAGUGGGGAAUAUUGGACAAUGGGGGCAACCCUGAUCCAGCCAUGCCGCGUGUGUGAAGAAGGCCUUCGGUUG
rnacentral:rRNA from 1 species